UACAGAGGGUGCGAGCGUUAAUCGGAAUUACUGGGCGUAAAGGGCGCGUAGGCGGCCAGCACAAGUCAGUUGUGAAAUCUCCGAGCUUAACUCGGAAAGGUCAACUGAUACUGUGCGGCUAGAGUGCGGAAGGGGCAACUGGAAUUCUUGGUGUAGCGGUGAAAUGCGUAGAUAUCAAGAGGAACACCUGCGGCGAAGGCGGGUUGCUGGGCCGACACUGACGCUGAGGCGCGAAAGCCAGGGGAGCGAACGGG
rnacentral:rRNA from 1 species